rnacentral:rRNA from 1 species
UACAGAGGGUGCAAGCGUUGUUCGGAAUCAUUGGGCGUAAAGGGCGCGUAGGCGGUUUUGUAAGUCGGAUGUGAAAGCCCACAGCUUAACUGUGGAAGUGCAUUCGAAACUGCAAGACUAGAGUCUCGGAGAGGGUGGUGGAAUUCCCAGUGUAGAGGUGAAAUUCGUAGAUAUUGGGAGGAACACCGGUGGCGAAGGCGACCACCUGGCUGAAGACUGACGCUGAGGCGCGAAAGCGUGGGGAUCAAACAGG